rnacentral:piRNA from 1 species
UACAGCCCCGUAUGAGGUAACCUCUGCCUU